rnacentral:rRNA from 1 species
UAAACCAAUAUGAUCUAGUUAUACGUUAAGGUUUAAAAUAUAAUUAAGCUUUAUUUAUGAUUCUAUAUAAAGUUUGUAGAUGGAAUAGUAGAAUAAGUGCCACUAUAUUAAAAUAUUAUUAUAUAGAUGGAUGUUGAUUUGUGAAAAUUUUGAGCGAGACUGGGAUUUGAUACCCCAUUAUUCAAUUUUUUAAAUUAAUAUAAUUACCAGAAUAGUGUGGUCUGAAUGAUUUAAAUUCAAAGGACUUGGCGGUGUUUUAGAUUUUUAGGGGAACUUGUUUAUAACCGAUGAUCCACGUUAGAUCUUUCCUAUAUUUGUUUAUUCAGUUUGUAUACCGUCGUCGUAAGUUAACCUUUGAAAGUUAGUUAGUUGGCAAGAAAGUAAGAUGAAUUAUGAAGUCAGAUCGAGGUGCAGUUUAUAUAUAGGUAAGGAUGAGUUACAGUUAUUAUAAAUAUAAGGUAUGGAUAUACAUUUUAAAUAGUGUUUUUGAAAAAGGACUUAAGAGUAAAUUAGUUUAUAUAAAUAAUUUGAAUUAAUGCUGAAACGUGU